CGGCAAGAGCUCAAAUUUGAAAGCUGGCUCCUUCGGGGUCCGCAUUGUAAUUUGCAGAGGAUGCUUCGGGAGCGGUCCCCAUCUAAGUGCCCUGGAACGGGCCGUCAUAGAGGGUGAGAAUCCCGUAUGGGAUGGGGUGUCCGCGCCCGUGUGAAGCUCCUUCGAC
rnacentral:rRNA from 1 species